GGGCGGGAACCUAAACAGGCUCUCAAGCCUGCAGGGAAGGGCGAACAACGCCUGUGCCCCGUGGCGGUGUUACACUCAGUCUCCCGUGCUAGUCUUCCGUGCUAGGACCCUAUGUUUCGUGGUUCCGGCAUAGGUCAGAAGGAAAUUAUAUUUUGGCACUGGAGAAGAAAUGUGAGUUUGUACAUUUAAAGAGUGCAGAGCCUAGAAAAUAGUGAUCACGAUCUUUACUGUAGAAAACUGGAGGGGUUUGGAAUGACAUUAUACUUUCUUGCCUCAAUUCUCUUUGUUGGACCUUUGCUGCACAACUCAAAUUUCAGAUGAAGAAGCUGGGAAAUGAUAAUCCUGACAAAUUGCCAAAGGUAGCAAAGGUAUUUAAUGACAGAAUUGGAAGUAAAGCACAGCAUUCCUGCCUCCUAAUUCAGUGCAAACAGAUGUGUCUAUUUCCACAAAUUUUUUCAGGAUAUGGUUAUUUGGAGAUUUCUGGUGAAGAAACUUAUUGAAUUAAACACGUACUUUAAGUA